rnacentral:tRNA from 2 species
AUGUAGCCAAGUGGAUCAAGGCAGUGGAUUGUGAAUCCCCCAUGCGCG